UACGGGGGGGGUAAGCGUUGUUCGGAAUUACUGGGCGUAAAGGGCUCGUAGGCGGCCAACUAAGUCAUACGUGAAAUCCCUCAGCUUAACUGGGGAACUGCGUCUGAUACUGGAUGGCUUGGAUUCGGGAGAGGAAUGCGGAAUUCCAGGUGUAGCGGUGAAAUGCGUAGAUAUCUGGAGGAACACCGGUGGCGAAGGCGGCAUCCUGGACCGGUAUUGACGCUGAGGCGCGAAAGCUAGGGUAGCAAACGGG
rnacentral:rRNA from 1 species